AGCCGAACGUCCAGGGGCAAAUGUUUCAUUCAUGUUCAGAUCGAGUAUAUUUUUCUGAGUUCCAGACUCCCAGAUAUCAUUUAUAAUCGUUAUGGAUAAGUCUGGCUAAAUUGACGAGAUGGUGCAAAUGUAUAUAGUUUUUUUUAAGUUAUACAACACUUUUUUCAUUAAUAUCCCAUAAUUCAUCCACUGUACAAUUUUCGUUUGAACAUUUGUCAAAACAGAAUCUUAAAUGAAUGUAAAUCCAAG
rnacentral:lncRNA from 1 species